CUGCGGAAGGAUCAUUACCGAGUGCGGGUCCUUUGGGCCCAACCUCCCAUCCGUGUCUAUUAUACCCUGUUGCUUCGGCGGGCCCGCCGCUUGUCGGCCGCCGGGGGGGCGCCUUUGCCCCCCGGGCCCGUGCCCGCCGGAGACCCCAACACGAACACUGUCUGAAAGCGUGCAGUCUGAGUUGAUUGAAUGCAAUCAGUUAAAACUUUCAACAAUGGAUCUCUUGGUUCCGGCAUCGAUGAAGAACGCAGCGAAAUGCGAUAACUAAUGUGAAUUGCAGAAUUCAGUGAAUCAUCGAGUCUUUGAACGCACAUUGCGCCCCCUGGUAUUCCGGGGGGCAUGCCUGUCCGAGCGUCAUUGCUGCCCUCAAGCCCGGCUUGUGUGUUGGGUCGCCGUCCCCCUCUCCGGGGGGACGGGCCCGAAAGGCAGCGGCGGCACCGCGUCCGAUCCUCGAGCGUAUGGGGCUUUGUCACAUGCUCUGUAGGAUUGGCCGGCGCCUGCCGACGUUUUCCAACCAUUUUUUCCAGGUUGACCUCGGAUCAGGUAGGGAUACCCGCUGAACUUAAGCAUAUCAUAAGCCGGGAGGAAACCUUUACCGAGUGCGGGUCC
rnacentral:rRNA from 1 species